GUUAGAGCGUUGAUCUGAUGAGCCAAAGGUCGCAGGUUCGAUUCCUGUCGUGAG
rnacentral:tRNA from 1 species